rnacentral:rRNA from 1 species
GACGAAGGGGGCGAGCGUUGUUCGGAAUCACUGGGCGUAAAGGGCGCGUAGGCGGCGCAGUCAGUCAGGCGUGAAAGCCCCGAGCUCAACUUGGGAAAUGCGCUUGAUACUAUUGUGCUAGAGAGCGGGAGAGGAUGGUGGAAUUCCCAGUGUAGAGGUGAAAUUCGUAGAUAUCGGGAGGAACACCUGUGGCGAAAGCGGCUCACUGGACCACAACUGACGCUGAGGCGCGAAAGCUAGGGGAGCAAACAGG